AAGACUAUGUAAGGCUUGUAUGCUACAGCAAGGAGCUUGAAUAUUACAUCGAGUACAGUAGGCAGCCAUUAGAAUGUUUUAAGCGGGAAUGAAUAUGAUCUGAUUCAUAUUUUGUAAGGAUUGACUUGACAGUGAGGUCAAGAAUGGAUUACAGGGUGACCAAAGAGGAAGCAGGACCAUUAGAUAAGAGGCUAAAGACUAGCUUAGGUGAUAGAAGUGGCUCAUUUGGAGAAAUCCUGUAGUGGCCCUAAUGGAAUAAGGGCAGCCUACCGGCCUCUACAAGGGAUAAGGAGUAUGAGUGAUCACCAGGAGCCAAGGAGUUUGAAACGGAGCCCAGCGGAGUGGGCCGGGGGAAUCCAGCACGUCUACCGCGGGCAGAUAAGUGUCCUCCACACCCCGGCCAUAGGCAGAAGAACGUGGCCGGCUGCUGCGGCACCCUACUAGGUCCUCGCCCACCUCUUUCUCGGGAAGGGACGUACCUGGCCAGCAAGGGAGGAGCGCACUCGAUUCAGCUUUUAGGGGAAAACCCACUUCUCAAACCCCAUUCCUUUUCGGCACGGCCGAGCCCCAGGGGCCGUUACCUGACCCGCUCCUCCGGCGACCUUUCGCCAGGCUGGCCCUGCCCGACCCGGCCCAAGGCCAAAAGGCCGCGCUCCCGGGGAAGGCGUGCGCUCGGCCGCGGACGCCCAAGCCUCCCUGGCCCCGACCCCGCCACGGCCUCUCCAGCCGCGAGCCGGGAACCGGGAGCCCAGAGCCCCGCGUCCCGCGCCUGUGGCGGGCCGGCGGGCGGCGCCGGCUCCCGCCCGCCUCAGCCCCUCGCCGCGCCCCCCCCCCACCACGCACCUCAAAGCCCCGCCUCCUGCCGUCCAUCCCUCCAUCCCUCCUCCAUCCACCUCCUCCCCACUGCGGCGCCAGCUUCACCUGCCUCAGCCCGCCGCCGCCGCCGCCGCCGCCGCCGCCCAGCCGUUCCUUCCCUCGGGACCGUGCCGCGCCACGACCCCAGAGCGGCGCCCCCCGCCCCACAGCCCCGCGCUUGUCCCGGACGCGCCCUCUCCUUCUCCUUCACCUGCCCCCGCCCCGAACCUCUACCUUGUAGGAGUCGGUGGCCAGGAGGAUGUUGAACUCGGCGUCUGCCGCAGCAUUCAUCUCGGGCGGAGUGUGAGGGCCACGCGCCGCGAGGUGCCCGGCGCGGCGGCGAGGAAGGAGAAAAAUGGGCUUCACCGCGCUCCGUUGCUUAAGUCACCGCUCGGUCGGAGGGGCGGGGGAGAGGAGGGAGAAGGGGAGUGGGGAGGAGGGGCCACAGAAGGGCGGGCCCGGGAGCAGUGACGCGGCGUGGGGGUGGUGGCGCCGGUAGCUCUCGAGAUCUCAGCCCAGGGACUCCGACCGACUCCUCACCUCGGCUCCCCGCCCCCACCCCCGCCCCAUUACCCCGGAGGGGACGCGAGGGGCGGGGCACGGCCGCGCGUGCGCAGCGCGUGAGGGGGCGGGGCUGGGGGGGAGAGGACGUGAGGCACGCGCUCUUUCUCCGGGACGCCAGCUCCGGGAAAGUGGAGGCUUCCGGGCAGUCCCGGUGUGGGACCCGCGUCCCUGCGUUGAUUUCAUUUCCCGGCACCGCUGAACGGAGAGCGGCGGGAGGGGGAAUUCCCAGCCUCGCCCCUCCUGCGAUUAGCGGGUUCGUCCGCCUGGCUGACACCUUCCUGUCCUACCCUGUCCUGGCUCAUUUUCUGAGUCCUGAAGUCACGCCACCCGGCUGGGGGCCGUGAAGCCUUCCUCUGCCGGUCUCCCCAUCCCCCUCCCGCAGUUACUCACCUUUGUCUCCGGCUGGGACUGGGGAUCGAACCUUUUGCUUGCAUCCCUCUUGUCCCUCCAGGUCCUCCCAAGCCUCUCUUUAAAAUCCGAAGAGCGGCGAUGAGGAAGGUCUGAGGGGUCCCUUUGCUCUGCAUCGACUCCGCUUUCCUCUGCCUGUGUUGCUGAGCUCUUGGAUCCUUUGAGUGAUGUUUUGACUUUUUUCCGCAGAAAAUAGUCUGCACGUGAAGGCGGGCAUUGAAUUCAGUCCUCCCAAAUAAUGAAAGUACGAGGCCUAAUUGAAUCUAACAGUGCCUAGAAGUAAACGGCAACGGGCCAAGUUGUGACACGGUGCAAAACUGAUUUCAUCAUUGCUUUAGUUGUUAAAUUUUGGGAAAUGAUUUGGUAACCUCCAAAAAAGAAGCAAGGGAUACGACGUCGGAUGACUUCACCGAAGUGUAGACGAUCCACUUACGCAAUUCUCAUACGUGAUUGUAGUUUUGCGUAAAAUUAAGAUUUCCUUUGUCCACAUGAUCAGCAGCUGCUGCUGCCUUUUAAAAAAAUUUUUUAUUCCAAGAUUUAGGUUUUACAAGAUACAAGUAGCGGGGCGGAAAACGGAUCAAUGAAAACAGGCAUAGGAACUCUAUAGACUAUUUUAAAAUUAAAAGUUGGUAAAAAUCUCACUUUAUCGGGGAGUGGGGGGUGGUGUGGGAUGGGAAGGGGGACGCUGUGAAUUGAGAGAUUCAUCACAACAAAACGGAGACCUCCAGUUAAAAGCAACUUGGGUCCCGACUGUGGUCUUGGAAUAAGUGCAGAUUCUUGACAGUCGCCUCCAUCUAUAGAGUCCAUACAGGCAAAGAUCACGGAAGUGGUGAGAUACCAAGUUAGUAAUAAUAAACUCACCAAGGUAUAAAUAAUAAUACAUUUAGAAUAAGAAUUUUCAGCCAAAAGUUUGAAAACAGAAGAGGCUUUUUCCCCCCUUUUUGGUUAUUUUUUAAAACAAGUAGGUAAAUUACUUAAUUUUUUUUUUAUUUUGGCAAAUUUUAUUAAGUCAAGCAGUGUGAUUCAAAGAAGGAGGAUGAUCCUUUAUGCCUCUCUUGAUUUGGUGUUUUCUUUCUUCAUUUAAAAUUUCCAUAACCUACCUUACUUAAAUGACAGAUUUUUUUGGCUUAGCUUCCUGGAAUCCAUGUAUGUAUAACUGACCAUUGUUUAUGCUGCCUUAUUCAGGAAAAAAAAUUGGGUCCUGAUUACAAAAUGGGCUUUGUUUAUGGUAGGAUUUUCUUUAAAGCAAAAUAAAAUUUGAUCUUGCAGUCUUUGA